rfam:Triticum aestivum genome assembly, contig: Triticum_aestivum_CS42_TGACv1_scaffold_558044_7AL
AAAGUACUCCCUCCGUCCCAAAAUUCUUGUCUUAGAUUUGUCUAGAUACGGAUGUAUCAAGUCACAUUUUAGCAUUAGAUACAUCCGUAUCUAGACAAAUCUAAGACAAGAAAUUUGGGACAGAGGGAGUAGUUG